UAACAAUCAUUUCUGCUCAAACUACGAUAUUGAGUAUUGACUGUGUUAUUUAAUUUCUCUGAUUUUUCAUAUCUGUUUUUAUAUUGAUAUUUAUUCUUUAAUUUCCUCUUUUCUAGUGAACUGGAGUGUGCUUUGAUGUACCCGCUCUUUAUUUAUGUGUGCGACCUCUUGAGAAUACUAUCUGAAUUUACUGAUAAGGGUUGGGAGAUUGAACUUUGAGAAAUGCACUUCAUUUUUAGUACGGACAAUUCGUGGCCCUUAAUUUUUGGACAGGGAUGUUAGGGUGUAAAUGCUGUCUAAUGUGGAGUAACAUAAUUCUGCUGCUGUCAGUUCCUUGGCUUAGUUUGGCUCUCACUGUGAUGAGCUUUUCCCACAUAUUUUAGUACUUCUGCAGAGGAGUCUUCUUGAUUGUGAUGAUGAAGUGAGAGACAGAGCAACCUACUAUUUUAAUAUCUUAAA